rnacentral:lncRNA from 10 species
GUGCUGCAAGCGUUCCAGGUCCAGGCUGGGCGACCCCUCGCGCUGCUGAGAGGCUCCUAUGCCCGGUGGGAGUUGAAGUCGGGCUCCGGGAGCAGCAGUCAUCCUGAUCCUCCCACCCGCGAGCUCCAAGCACUUCUGGAUCCAGGUCCCGCCUUGGGCGGAAAUGUGCAGUCAGUUGACUGCCCAGGAGCCACCUUCCCCGCUCCCGCGUUAGUCUCUUGGAAUGAGAAUCUAGAAACCUAGGAUCUGAUUCCGGCUCUGUUAGAGAUUAGUAGUUACUUCUCUGAGCCUCAGUUUCCUCAUUUCUAGAAAACGAUGGUAUUGGGGCAGGCGCGGUGGCUCACGUCUGUAAUCCCAGGACUUUGGGAGACGGAGGGGGUGGAUCACCUGAGGUCAGGAGUUAGAGACCAGCCUGGGCAACAUGGCGAGACCCCCUCUUCUACUAAAAAUAUGAAAAUUAGCCAGCGUCGUGGCACAAAAAAAAAA